GGAGGUUUAGCUCAGUUGGGAGAGCAUCUGCCUUACAAGCAGAGGGUCGGCGGUUCGAGCCCGUCAACCUCCA
rnacentral:tRNA from 2 species